CGUAAACAACCUGCCUUAAGGAUGGGGAUAACAGACGGAAACGACUGCUAAUACCGAAUACGUUCUAAGCAUCGCAUGGUGCAUAGAAGAAAGGGUGGCCUCUACAAGAAAGCUAUCGCCUUAAGAGGGGUUUGCGACUGAUUAGGUAGUUGGUGAGGUAACGGCUCACCAAGCCGACGAUCAGUAGCCGGUCUGAGAGGAUGAACGGUCACACUGGAACUGAGACACGGUCCAG
rnacentral:rRNA from 1 species